rnacentral:rRNA from 1 species
GACGAACGCUGGCGGCGUGCUUAACACAUGCAAGUCGAACGAUGAAGCUAGAGCUUGCUCUGGUGAAUUAGUGGCGAACGGGUGAGUAACACGUGAGUAACCUGCCCCGCACUCUGGGAUAACUGCUGGAAACGGUAGCUAAUACUGGAUACGACCUACGAAGGCAUCUUCUGUAGGUGGAAAGAAUUUCGGUUCGGGAUGGACUCGCGGCCUAUCAGCUUGUUGGUGAGGUAAUGGCUCACCAAGGCGACGACGGGUAGCCGGCCUGAGAGGGUGGCCGGCCACACUGGGACUGAGACACGGCCCAGACUCCUACGGGAGGCAGCAGUGGGGAAUAUUGCGCAAUGGGCGCAAGCCUGAUGCAGCAACGCCGCGUGAGGGAUGACGGCCUUCGGGUUGUAAACCUCUUUUAGUAGGGAAGAAGCGAAAGUGACGGUACCUGCAGAAAAAGCACCGGCUAACUACGUGCCAGCCGCCGCCGUAA